AGAAAGGCACAAGGAGACUUCGGUGGGAGAAAGGCUUGAUCUAAAUGCUUAGUUUCAUGGUUGGCAGAAGCUUGUGUUAACAAUGGGAGCACACUCCGUCCCGUGGAUUUUAACCGCCGACCUUCCGGUCAGCAAGUUCAGUAGCUCAGCAGUUUACCCAUAACUAAUCUUCCAGCCAAUGUGAGGAAUAUAGGAGCUACAAUUCAACAAUGUCUGAAGAGCCACAUACAGGACAUCCUGCAACACAAUGAAUAUCUGAUAAAGCCUCAACCAAUUCAACAUAAUUUGUGGCAGCCACAAAAAUGAAGUUUCUGAUUAUACAUUGAGAAGGAGAAGAAAGAAUAAGAUGCACAGUGUCUUUUGAUCUGUACUGUUAAGGACCCAGGUCUUCUGCAGCAUAAUUACAACAAGAACAGGAGACACAACCAGAACAAUAGUGGAGACAAUGGCAAGAAGGUAGCUUUGAGUAUUAUCAAACAGAGAGUUCUUCCUAGAAAUUAUACACUAUGCACAUAUUCCAUUAUUUUGUCCUUGAUUAUCUUGAUGUGGUAAGGAUAUAGGUUGGAGAAGAACAAAACAAGAUUAUAGUCGGAGAACUGAAGCACUCCCUUUCCCCUGUUUAGCAACCUCAUCUGUACUGCCGUUUAAUGCAGUUUGACAAUGUAGAUUCAGAUAAUGCAGCUGCAGGGAGACAGCACUGGGUUCUGGUUGUUAUUUAAACUAUGUACACUGGAGGAUUAAAUUGUUCCUACUGAAGUAAAAUUACUGGGACACACUUCUGUAUAGAUUUGGUACUGUAAACAAACACAGAAGGGAAAGGUCUCAACCACUGAUGCACCGGCCAAAACUAACACAAAUGAUGU